UACAGAGGGUGCAAGCGUUGCUCGGAAUCACUGGGCGUAAAGCGUGCGCAGGCGGCUUUGCAAGACAGAUGUGAAAUCCCCGGGCUCAACCUGGGAACUGCAUUUGUGACUGCAAGGCUAGAGUACGGCAGAGGGGGAUGGAAUUCCGCGUGUAGCAGUGAAAUGCGUAGAUAUGCGGAGGAACACCAAUGGCGAAGGCAAUCCCCUGGGCCUGUACUGACGCUCAUGCACGAAAGCGUGGGGAGCAAACAGG
rnacentral:rRNA from 1 species